rnacentral:tmRNA from 1 species
CCCCUUCCAUCGGUCGAGCCGAUUGCCUAUAUCUGGCGAGCCGGUUCGUCCGACUAUGGCGAUAAACGGUUCGUGGAAUAAGCGUUGUGGACCCGGGGGCAGUGCCCGGCGCCUCCACCAUAGGGGGGCGAAACAGGCUCGACACGCGUGGUAAAGACGGACUUUUCGCUCG